UCCUGUGCAUGUAGUAAAUCCCGUACGAGGUGUUACUAUCAGAGUCAUCUGGGAAAUCCAACGGUGGAAAUGGAUUUUAGCGCAUGUAUGUACAUGUUAUCAUGUAUAUACAUGAGAGAGGGAGAGAGAAAGAGAGUGAGGUCGUGGUCAUUUCUGGAACUGAAAAACCAGCUGGUAGGGUCGGGGCCUGCACCUAUCUUUUGUCUUUUUUUAACAUUGGCUUUCCACUCUUUUUUACUCUUCUUAUAACCCCCAUGCCAUAUCAUUCCCUUCAUCAUCUCUUCAUGAUCACCAAAAUCUCUCUCUCUCUCCCUCUCGCUCUCAUCCCCCUUGAAGAUAGGCGAGACUCUUGGGGGAUACAGAGAUAAGAUCAAUUUUCUCUGUUAUGAAUUCAACACCAUAUUCAAGGGAAGCUUCUCUUUUGAGGGGAAUGUUGUCUGGCUCGAGGACUCUCUUUUGAUGCUUUUACAUACAGAUCUAAGCAUAUUGAUCAACUGCUAGUGUCGUCGGACCAGGCUUCAUUCCCCCCAAUUAAUGCUUCCAUACUGAUUUUUCAAGACCUGCAUGUAAAGAUUUCUCUCAUGAUGGUUUGCAGUAUCUGAUCUGUUUGUUUCUGGUACCUUCAGAUCUGGCUUUCAACUCUGGUACCUCUCUCUUCCUUCUCUCUCUUAGGGUUUCAUGCUGUUUAAGUUUUUGGCUCUAAUCUCCAAAUAAAUCUUUUAAAAAAGGUAUAAACUUUGGGAAGAUGCACUAGCAAGAAAGUGAUUCCUUUCCCUUCCUUUUUUUUUUCUGUCAUUAUUUGAAAAGUUGCACAACUCUGUAUUAGAGAGAAAAAUUGGUGUAGAAAUGUAGUCUUAAAAACUUCUUUUUAUGUACAAAAUUUUCGUACAUGUCUUUGUGGUGCUUAAUUACUUGUAAUACGUUUUCAAAGGUUUGGAUGGUUGUUUCAUUUGUUUAUCAACUUCUGCUUUAAUGUAGUUUUGUCUUUAUCUCAAAUCCAAGUUGAAUAGUCGAACAGUAUAGGAUCAUUUGAUUUGCAUGCCAUUAAUCAUUGGUGGAACUCCAUUAAGGCUUUCGAUUUCUAAUACUGGCUUGUUUUCGUUCUUUCAGUCGAGUAUAGACAUUGUGUGUCUACAGGUGAGGAUAAUGAUGUGUGUGUCUGUGUUUGCCAUUAAGGGAACCCCACAACUCUUGGCUUUGUUAUCUCCUUGUUUAAAACCCUAAUACGAAUCUUUUGUUGUAAAUGUAUCAGAAACAUCAGCUCUACAUCUCUUUGCUAAACUUGCCCUCUUGUCUUUUUCAUUUUAAUUAGUCUUACUGGUGCAAGAAUUAUUUCAUGUGUUUUGGGCACUUGUGAAAACCACUUGAACACCUAGCCAAACGUUAUCCACUUGAUAUUGUGUGUUGGAUUGCCUAACUCCUUAGGACUGAUUGAUAAUGAUUGGUGAAAUAUAAAGUUUGAUAGAUUUGCAGAGAAACAUUGUGCAGCUAAACGAUAUGCUUAAGCAAUGAGCCUUUUCCUUUUUUGUGCUUUACAUUUUAAUGGGUUAGUGAUAGAACCAUUGCAUCAGCAAGGGUUUUAAGUCGUUGAUGACUAAUAUACUGUCUGUACAUGUGAAAAUUUUUAUGGGAGUUGGGGGUAGGGGUGAUUUCGAAUGAAUGUAAUGAAACAUUUGAUUUGAAAGAUGAGCAAAAUAGUGGCCUAGCUACAAUGCCUUCUAGGGCAUAAACAACACGUCUUCUUCCCUUCGGCCCCCUAUCUGGCCAUCCCUCUUUUUCUCUUCCUCAACUACACAGAUUUUCACUGUGCAUGGAAAAACGUGAAACAAUGUGAAGAAUAGCCAUGAAUGUUUCUAUAUUCCUUCUCCAAUUCCCACCCUGUUCAUGGAUGAAAAGCAGGAGUUUUGGAAUCUAGGAAACAUGUGUAAACUUUGAACAGGUGCAUCACCUUAACGUUAAUCAGAACAACGUUGAUGCUACAUAAAUUCAAGGAUAAGGCUGUUAGCCUUUACCUAAAUUUCAUUGAAAAGGGAAUGGUGUGAAUACUGUCUUGUAAAAGAGCGCUUUUUGGGAAAUUGAAUCUUUUUGACCUUUGCAAAACAUAAAGUAAACCAUUUUCUGCUUUGAUUUUAUCCAUGAUUGCAUUUGUUCUUAGUCCUUGAUUUUGACAAAGAAAUGGAGUAGGUAUCGGACUCUGGCCCAUGUUUAUGAAUUCCUAUAAAAGCUUUACGACCACAAAUUUCCAUGAAUGAUCUGUCGGCAUACAACUUGAGUAGAAACUUUGAAACAACUGUGGAAGAAGAUUGCCUUAAUUUGUGGCUCCAUAUUUAUAAGGGUGUACAUUUCUCACGUCUCUUGUGAAACCCAUGUUAAUUACGUAGUAAUUUGCUCAUUGCAAAUGAACACGACCAUGAGAGAAAUAACAAGACAUCUCCUACACCGCCACCUGUGUAGACCUGCACAUCAGUUCGAGUUGCUGAAUAAUAGAUUAAACAAGAACCGUAUUCAAUUCUGGUUUAAGGCAGUUUGUUUCCAGCAAUAAAUUAUUAAAAAAAAAAAAGAUAAUCAAAAUUUUCUGCAAAAUUAUGGAUAAAAAAUAAA